rnacentral:ncRNA from 1 species
UCCGUGGUAACGCGGAAUCUGAACGAAGCGAGCGGCAACCCUCCGGUCUGAGGAACACGAACUAUAAGGCUAGGUAUCAUUGGAUGAGUUUGCUUUACAAAACAAAGUCCUUACUGCCGAAGGUGGUACAGAGUAAAUGAAGCAGAUCUAAAAAGCUCAGAGUCUCCU